UCUACUCGGCUGUCACUAUUAUAAUUUAAAUUCUAUAAAUUUCAAUUGUUUUUAGAAUUUUUAUUUGUUGAUCGUGAUUAUGUAUUUGUCUCAUAACAAAUGCUUUUAUUUUGAUGCUAGUUCAUACAUUAAUUUUAGUAUCUGACGUAUAUAGCACAGACGUCACAAAUCCCUCACCCAUAAUUAAGUCUCGCCAGUGUCGGUCAGAAAUAACAAAAUGUCGUAAUUAUUAUUGUCAUAUUUACCUCAAGGUUAUUGACCUCCUGGACUGCGUGAUAUGUCAUAACUGAUGAAGUACUACUACAGUGCUCAAAUAAAAGUAUUUUUGUAUAUGAAUAUUUUUAAUAAAAGAACUUAUAUUAUACUAUAAAAUUACUACUUACUACUAUACUUUAUAGUUAUAAAAGAAUAAGCCGUUUGUGAUCCGAUAUUCCUACAUAGUCAUAGAAUCCAUGACGUUAAUUCCAACGUUUAUAGGUGGUCAUCAAGAAAAGUUUUAUUUAAGACUAGUUUUUGCCCGCGACUUCGUUCGCGUUACCGUCGUUUUUCGUAAAAAAGUAGCAUAUGUUAGUGAUUGUGUAAUAGUGAAUCCUCACGAUUUAGUGGUUUUGAUUAACUUUCGUAUUUUAGUAGGGUAAAAUAAUAUGUCUAUCCACAAUCCUGUAGAAAAAUAUAAUGAACUGUAGAAUAUUAUUAUUAUAGCUGUGCCCGCGACUCCGUCAGUGUGUAACUUCUUGUUUGUUAUUAAGUUGCUGUUUUCGGUCAAUGGAACGCCUUAGCUCUCGUUGAGAGGAGCUCUUAGAGUUUUGAGACGCCCGUGAUGUAGUUCGUCUCGCUCUGUCAGCUGCUAAUCGCACUAACUCUCAUACAAUUUAACAGAUGUGCUCUUUUCUCUACCGAUUUUUGAGGAAGCUUAAUUCUCAUUCUCUUAGCUUGACUCGAAGUUAAAGAUAAAGAUAAUCGUUUCUUAGGUGACAUUGUGUAUUUUACUUUUAAUCGACGUUAACUGAAAGGCUGUCAGUUACCUAAAAAAAUCAUCUUCUUUAGAGGAACCUGACUGAACUGAAGGAACUGAAGAAUUAUACCCAGAAAUAUGUGUAACUUACAACAGAAAAGGAAAUGAAAUAAAGCUGAAACGCCUGCGUAAUACAAUCUACGUAGACCUACUUCACUUAAAAAUAAAUACCCAUUACUACUAUAAUUAAUAAAAGUACCUACGCUUUAACUACUCAAUACAAAAAAACUGAACAUAAAUUAGCCAAGCUAACCUAUACGUAUCUAAAACUCAGGCGUACUACUUCUACUUCUACUACUUCGUCACCUAAAAAUAAAUAAAAUGGAAACUAUAUAUAAUUUGGAAUUUGAACGAAUGUGUAAACACUACCAAAACAACUAACACCUAUUUUAUAAAACAACAAAAAGAGAAAUUUAUAUAAAUUAUUUAAAUACUAAUAGUCGCGCUGACAGGCGCGGUUUAUAAUAUCAACUAUUGUCAGACAAUAAAGUCGAACGUCCUGAACCAAUCAACAGCCAAUUAUUGAAUGAAGCCUGCGCUCGCCUCCCGCCUUUUUAUACCCUACCGCCGCGAGCCGCGCUGAGUGCGGCAAUCGUUACGCAAAAAUAAUCCUUAUAGCAUGAUUCAGUAUUCACGCGCGAUGGCUUAUUAGCGUAUUUCAUGUAUUAGUUCGGUGUUUGUAUACUGAUAUCUAUGAUUCUUUUUAUAUUGUAAAGGUAAUAAUGUAAAUUUUUAUUUAAUUAGGGUUGAGUGAGAGUAUAUUAUAAACGUAAAAAGUAAGCAAAUAUAAUCAAAAAGCUUCGAACUGCUAAGCUAUCGAGAGUUACUCGUGUUAUUGUGACGCAACAUGAAAGGUGACAAACGAGCAGACGGCCUACCUGAUGGGUUCACAGUCGUCCAUGGACGUAAGAGAUGUUGCGAAUGCGUUGCCAGUAUUGGUUGUUGAGGAAGGAGUAAAUGGUAGGACUAUGGAGAUGGCAAGAAAGAGUGGGAACAGACAAAGACCACUUACAGUACUUCAAGCCAGUCCAUGCUCGGACUGUAGUACAUUGAACACAGCUAGGCUACCACCCAAAUGAUAUAUUAUUAGAGUAUCCCUCAAAAUCCGUCCCCUGUCUGUUUCGGCAGCUCCUGUAGUCCAAAAUGAACAACUACUUUUUUUUCUAAUCUCCGCCAACUCACGAUUCACAUAACUUUUCUUUUAAUUCUGAUUCAAUAGUGUGAAUUUGACGACGUAAGAUAGCAUUGUGAUUGUUCUUUCAGAGCACAUAUCUAUAAUAUAUAAAAUCUUAUCAUUCAAUACAUUGUGCAUAUAAAAAAAAAUUGAUUUAAAUUAUAAAAAAAUAUAUAUGUUAAGAUACUGAUGCGGAUACUCUAUUCAUAAGUACAGAUAAAUCUUCCCUAAGGACUAAUCUCUUAUUUAUGUAAACCAAUAGACAACUAAUAUAAAUCAUUUUUAACUUUAUUGUACUUAAAACUGAAGUCAAAUAAAUAUCUUAGUUAGGAGAAACAAUGGAAACAAUGAAAUAUGAAUAAAAAUAUUUAAUUACAUACAACACAGGUAUAGUAGAGUGUAAAUAACGGUAUUUACUAAAUUAUAUAUCAAUUUAACAUUUUUUGGACCAUAGUUUUGAGCCAAUUCAUUCCUCUACAACAUAAUUCGAGACGAUUCAAAUAAAGAAUUAAGUACAUUGGGAUUAAAAAAAAAAAAAUUGUCAGCCAAGUGUAAAAAAAAUUAAGACUCUAGUGAAUAAAACUAUUUAGCUAUAUACAGAUUAAAAAUAGACAUUAUAGAUGUUGGUAAAACAUGUAACCUCAAAAGAACUUGUAAACGACGACACUAAAAAAAAGGUUCUAUAUUUUUAUUUACAUUAAAAUUCAGUAUUAAAACACGAGCUAGACUUUUUGUAUGCAAACGUUGUAACUACAAAGUCUCUAUAAAUGCAACCGAUACAUAACACAAGGGAAUGUACUAAAUACAUUAUAUACUGAACGUUUCAUUUUCAGUUUAUAAAACCUCUGAUAUGUGCAAAGAUUAGAUCCCUUAUAAUUAAAUGACAUGCCCUUAGUUACAUUAAAUAUUCUUAUAAUAUAAAUUUAAGCUCAAAUCACUAAAUACUUUGUUACAGAUAACCUACCGUCACUGACGCGCCUAACGCCUGGCAAUACAUACUCAACUGAUUCUGAACAAUACGAAUCCUGUAUGAGACACAUCAUUAUACGUUAGGAAAACUGGAAUAUCAUUAACACAAUACGUUAUUUAUGGAAAUUUAAAUACAUUUUGUUCCGACAAUUUAAUAUAAAACAACAUUUAUAAGAGAAAAACCUUAAUAUAUAUCUAUUAAUACUCAUAAGACGUAACACAAGGCACUAGUAUUAGGCCUUCACGGAAUUGAAAGAACUAUUGGAGUCUGUCGCAGAGAUUCUUUCAACACGAACACGGAAAACAUCUUGCUACAGAUUAUAAAAAUUUCAUACAAAUAUAUGGAAAUUUUAGCACCUUCCAUGGGAAGUGUCUGCACUAAGAGCUUUAAGCCUAGUACAAUAUAAUGAUACGAAAAAAAAAAUAUCGCUUAUUUUUUUUAAUUUCUAUGUCGCUUUAAACCCGAGCCACGUGAUUUAUUUCAGCAAUUUUUCGUCUAUUAGGAACUAUAUUAAGAUGUAUGAGUUCGCGUUACGUUUAAAACUAGAAAACAUCAAGCAACAACAGAAAUGGAUGGAAUGUUACCUAUAUCAAGAUCACUAGUCUAAACCUAGCCUUAUUGUCAACCCGAGGACCUAGCAACUGGAAAUAUAACAUCACCAAAACAAUAUCAACCGCUGUCUGUGAGAAGAGACGUCGACACAGAAAUUA